rnacentral:rRNA from 1 species
AUUGAACGCUGGCGGCAUGCCUUACACAUGCAAGUCGAACGGUAACGGGCCUUCGGGUGCCGACGAGUGGCGAACGGGUGAGUAAUACAUCGGAACGUGCCCGAUCGUGGGGGAUAACGAGGCGAAAGCUUUGCUAAUACCGCAUACGAUCUACGGAUGAAAGCAGGGGACCGCAAGGCCUUGCGCGGACGGAGCGGCCGAUGGCAGAUUAGGUAGUUGGUGGGAUAAAAGCUCACCAAGCCGACGAUCUGUAGCUGGUCUGAGAGGAUGAUCAGCCACACUGGGACUGAGACACGGCCCAGACUCCUACGGGAGGCAGCAGUGGGGAAUUUUGGACAAUGGGCGCAAGCCUGAUCCAGCCAUGCCGCGUGCAGGAUGAAGGCCUUCGGGUUGUAAACUGCUUUUGUACGGAACGAAAAGCCUUCUUUUAAUACAGGAGGGUCAUGACGGUACCGUAAGAAUAAGCACCGGCUAACUACGUG